AUGCCAGAGGAUUUAAAGAGAGAGGACUUUGUUGAUCUAAGCUUUGGCGAUCAGGUGGCCAAGGAGAAGUUCCUGAUCAGCAACAAAAAACAAGACCUGAUUGAGGUGCUCUUCACCAGGGAGGAGAUGGUGUUGUUCUCCGUGUCGGGCAGGAAAUCAAACAAUCGUUCAAGAUUCUGUGACAAAGCCAGCUUUGUCAAGCAACAAAGUGCUCGCUCUUGUUGGUAUGACUCUAAUGAGCUAUGCUUAAAAUUGUUACAUCAUUUUUUAUUCCAAUUUUGAUGUAGAUCUUCCUUAUGACGUUGCUUUCGCAACACUCGCAUUAACAUCUGCUAACCAUCUGUAUGUGACAAAUAACAUUUGAUUUGUUUUGAUUUAUGAAUGUAAGAGCGUGCAGGUAUAUUAUUCAAAUGAUGUACAGUACGUCAUGAUUCAUAUUUGUGUUUUAUUGAACUUUUUAGCUCAUGUCCAGAGAUGUUUUGAGGGGGUGGACAAGACCUCAAUGAGGACUGCCAGUUAUGGUCUACAAGCUACAGGACAUCGUCACCCAACUGAAGCCAAAAGCAGAAUAAAAUAAAUGAAAACAACCUAUUAAUAAAUCAUGUUUUUUGUGCUAGAUGAAAGCUAGGUAUUCAUUUCUAACCCUUUGGCCACGUUGAAUAAAUCCCAUGAAAUACACACAAAAAAUCCAAUGAAUAACCAAUGGUAAUAGUAUAGCAACCCCAUCCAAUGAAUAACCCAUUAACAUCCAAUGGGAAUAUGAGAUAAUCCCAAUGAUAAUCUUGUUAAUUGAGAGUGGGGGGAAUCCAAUCCAAUGGGAUAGUUCCAAUGAGAAUCCUAUGGCAUUUUCCCUUUGGGAAUCCAAUGGUAAUUUUUAUAGAGGAUCCAGCACGUCCAGUCUGCAACUAGCCAUGGGGGUUUAGAAGACAGCAGUGCGCUUGCAAGUCGGGAAUUGAGGAAGUACCGCCAUAGGUUUACAGCUAGUAAUGUCGCACUAGCCAUUGAUUUAUGAGCUAGUAGCUACUAAAACAGUAGUUGUCAAACCUCUCCUUGGGGUCCAGAACUAGCACACCUGAUUCAACUUGUCAACUAAUCAUCAAACCCUCGAUUAGGUGAAUCAGGUGUGCUAGUUCAGGGCUUAAACAAAAUGGUGAGAUGUCUGGGGGUCCCCUACUGUAGGUGAAGCUAUAUAUAGUACAGUUUGAUUAUAUAUAAUAGAAUUUACGUCCUAAUUG
rnacentral:lncRNA from 13 species